rnacentral:rRNA from 1 species
AUUGAACGCUGGCGGCAGGCUUAACACAUGCAAGUCGAGCGGGGUGAUGGUGCUUGCACUAUCACUUAGCGGCGGACGGGUGAGUAAUGCUUAGGAAUCUGCCUAUUAGUGGGGGACAACAUCUCGAAAGGGAUGCUAAUACCGCAUACGUCCUACGGGAGAAAGCAGGGGAUCACUUGUGACCUUGCGCUAAUAGACGAGCCUAAGUCGGAUUAGCUAGUUGAUGGGGUAAAGGCCUACCAAGGCGACGAUCUGUAGCGGGUCUGAGAGGAUGAUCCGCCACACUGGGACUGAGACACGGCCCAGACUCCUACGGGAGGCAGCAGUGGGGAAUAUUGGACAAUGGGGGGAACCCUGAUCCAGCCAUGCCGCGUGUGUGAAGAAGGCCUUAUGGUUGUAAAGCACUUUAAGCGAGGAGGAGGCUUACCUAGUUAAUACCUGGGAUAAGUGGACGUUACUCGCAGAACAAGCACCGGCUAACUCUGUGCCAGCCGCCGCGGUAA